rnacentral:lncRNA from 1 species
UUUUUUAAAGAUUUAUUUAUUUUAGAGAGAGUACACAAGUGGGGGAAGAGGCAGAGGGAGAGGAAGAGAAUCUCAAGCAGACUCCAUGCUGACCCCACCAAGGGGCAUGAUCUCACAAUCCUGAGAUCAUGAUCUGAGCCGAAAUCAAGAGUGGGAUGCCUAACCAACUGAGUGGCCCAGGUGUCCUCACCGGAAUCUUUGGAGCUUGUGUGUCAUCUGAAAACAGAAGAUAGGUCUUGAGUUUCCAGCCGAUGGAGACAUUCACUAUUCAAGUUUGUGGAGUCUGUCACUUAGGGAUCUUUGGCUCUGUCUACUAUGCCCUCAGCCUUUUGUGUUAAUUUCCCAUGAUGAAAAAAAAAAAAAAAAUUCCCAUGAUGCUUCUUCACCUCUUCAGAGAUCUUGUCACUUUUGCUGGGAGCUGGAUGAGUUUCCACUUGCAGAGCCCCCUUCCAAACUUCUCCUUCCCUUGCUCUAGGAAGCUCACCUUUUCAUCUUGGUUACACCUGUAUUAUCUUGCUCAGCUUCAACAACAGAAAUUUAUUUUCUCAUAGUUCUGGAGGUUGGAAGUCCAAGAUCAAAGUGUCAGCAGGUUUAGUGGCUCUUGAGGCCUUUCUCCUCGGCUUGUAGAUGGUCUUUUCUCUAUGUGUGGGCACUUGGUGUCUCUUCAUUUUCUUACAAGGUCAUCAAUCCUACUGGAUUAGCACCCCAUUCUUAUGACUUAAUUUAAUGUUAAUUACUUCUAGAAAGACCCUAUCUCCAAAUAUAGUCACAUUGGGAGUUAAGAGUUCAACAUAUGAAUUCGCAGAGGACACAAUUUAGUCCGUAACAGACCCCUAUAGCCCAGCUGUGAAAGGAAAACAGAUAUUACAUCAACACAUAUACAAAAUAAGACAGGGGCAACCACAGAUUCAGGUGUCAGCCUCUGAUUCUUUGUUACUGAGCAACUUUCUAAUGAGGUUUAGUAAGUGUGGGCAAGCAACAGUCUGUCCCUCUCAUGUGAACCCUCCCCUCUGGGAUUUCUUUGUGCUUCUAGCUGAUCUUGGAAUUUGGCUCCAAUUACUAUGUUGAUUUUCUGCAUUUUUCACUGUCUUUCAGUUUUCAAUAUUUUUGCUAACAAUUUCUAUAGAACAGUAUGGUUCCCCCAGUGUGGUCCUUCAACAGCAGCAGCAGCUUGAACCCUGGUUAGAAAUGCAAAUUGUCUGGCCCCGUGUCAGACCUCCCAAAUCUCCCAAAACGGAGCCUUUGGGGAUAAGGCCCAGCAAUCUAUGUUUAAACAAGCCCCCUAGAUGAUCUGAUGCAUGCAUACUCAAGGUUUGGGACCACUGAUCUAGUUGACUGGACUGUCCAUACCUGGAAGGGCUGCACAACCUUGCUGCCUUUGCUGUUCCUGUCUCACUGGAGCCUAAGCUCCACUCUCUGCAGUGUGCCUUAGCAUUUCCCUGCACUUCUCGGAGGCUGCCAUGCCUUUUAAUUCCUCAAAAUGAACUUUCCUUGGGAACCUGAGCUGUAGUUAAGUCCUCUUCCUUCACUUUUUACGCAAGUCUCCACAUGUUACAACAGUGAUUUGUACAAAGUAUAGUGCUGCAUAAAUACUUAUUGAAUGGAUAAACUGUUUAGAGCUUAAGAUUAUAAAACACCUAUUUUAAAACAUCUGUAAAACACUUAUUUUGCGGCAGAUGCUUUAGUUUUAUGUAGGUAAGAAAUAUACUCUCAGAUAGCUGGACUUGAUUAUUAUCUGAUGUUGAGGAAAAAUUGUCUGGGGGUUUGAUCCUACAUGAUAAGCCCCUAAUUCUGGCAGAUUCCAGGAUGAGCACUUUAUUAUAUUACAACUAAUUCACAACGACCAUGGCUUCAACAUAAACAAUGUUUAUGUUUAGAGACACCUGCAACUAAAUCCUCUAGAAAGGCAUCAAAGCAUUAAUAUAAACUAAAACAAGGGGUUGUAGUUUAGCACAAGGGAGAUUAUGACCUGGACACUCAGAAGACACCUACCUAUCCUAAAUUUUUGGGACAGAACAGAGUGACUCAAGAAUGGAACACCUGAAAUACUGUCAGUGACUAGGCUGUACAUGAGUAUGCCAUGAAUGCACCAUUAUUGAGCUAUCAUUGUUUCUCAAUUUCUACCACAUGGGUCCCAUUCCUUUAUGGAUCACACAAUGGCAGGAACCAUGUCUGGACAUAAAGGUGGAACUGGUUUUCCCCACAACUAUAAGAAAUAUCUGACAGUUUCAUUUCUCAGCAGGAUGAGGCCCUAGUCACUCCUGUCACAUGACUCAGAGGUUCCUGACUGAACAUGUUUCCUGGCACUAGACAAGCUAUUCUGUGUAAAACACUCACUUUUCUCAGAAAAAGUAGCCACCUAGCUGCACAGAUCUUACUGCAUACAACUUCUGGGGCAGGAAGCAAUGUGAAAAACCUCAGUGAUAUCCCUCUUGCCAUGAGCUUCCUUAUGAACUUGAGGAAAUAAGGAAACACCAAGGCUGAGAGAUUCUGAAUGUCAAAGAAUGCCAAGUCAGUCUUACAGGGAAAAAUUAGCUCUUCUUAUACAUCAGACACUGCCAAAUUGGCCCCGUGAUAUUCGCAAAUUAUGUAGGCUAUCUUUGACUGUCUCACAUUUGUUUUAAUAAACCUGGGGACAAAAGCUUUGUAAAUGAAAAAAAAUGUUUUCCCUAAAAUCCAGGUUUCUUGAUGAAAAUACAAACGAAUGAAAUAGAUCAGACCCCCCCUUCCCAGGUAGCAUUCUAGAACUUUGUCUUAAAAAAAUUAAAGUUUUUUAAAAUUAUUUUUUAAAAGUCAAAAUCAAAAUAAAGCCAUAAAUUAAAAAAAAUUUAAAGUGUUUUUAAAAAUGAUUUUUUAAAAAUCAAAAUAAUGUGCAUCGAUAUAUUAAAAAAAAAAACAGAGUUUAGAGAUUAAUAGACAAGGUCCUAAUUCUUGCUCCUUCAUUUAUACUCUCUAGGAUGAUUCCCAGCAAGUUAUUUAACUUUUAGGAGCUUUGGUAUCUUCUCCAGUAAAAGAUAGUAACAAUAUUUGCCUCAAAAGAUUCUCACCAUAAGGUAUAUAAGGCCUUAGCACUGCACAUCCAAAUGGUAGUCACUAGCCACAUGUGGCUAUUGAGAACUUAAAAUGUGGCUAAUCAGAAUUGAUAUGUUGUGUGAAAUACACACAUUUUCAAGUCUUAGUGUGAAAAAAAGAAUGUAAACCAUCCUUUUAUUUAAAAUAUUGAUUACAAAAAAAAAUAUUGAUUACAUAUUAAAAUUGUUUUGGAAUAUAUUGAGUUAAAUAAAAUAUAUCAAAACUGUAUAAACACACACAAUCAAGUGUAUACCUUAUAUUAGAGACCAACAAAACAAUAGUUGGUGUCAAGUUAACUUAUUUUUGUGUGCAUCUUAAAAAUUUCUGCUGCUACCCAUAAAUACUAAAAAGUGUCCCCAAAUUAUUGAUACCAUAUACUUUUUAGGUGUUUUCUUGCAAGGCUGUUUAGAAAUGGUAAUUAUACUCCUGCUGGCAUCAGAAUUAGCUCCAGGUUAGAGAACCAAGAAAGAAAUUUGAUAGACAUAGACAGCUAUGAUCCAUAAGUUCCAAUAGCAAAGCAGUAUUAGUUUCCAUUGUUUCAUCUUUGAAGGAUAUUAUAAAUUUGAACUUAAAAUCAAUACCUCUUUUCUCUGCCUUAUACACUGGCAUUCCACUGUUUAGGUAAGAUUGAAAACCUGAGACAGACCUAGAGGGCUGACUAAAUGCAGCGAGAGGGCUGACUAAAUGCAGAACAGCCCUCCAGAACAACACUGCCUGGUCUCAGGGUUAGCAGAACCUGCUCACUUCCAGAGGUGGAAAAAUCUGCAGGAUUCCUAAGUGAUGGCUGAAGUGUUCACUGUGAAGUUAGCCACAUUACUGGAAAAGAGGAAUCACAUACUGAUUCACAUAGUGUGCCUUCCACAGGAGAGCCCUGUGGGGCAGCGAACACAUCAAUGUGUCCUGGAGAACAUUCCUCCUAUCUAUGGCAUUAUCUAUACUAUCUCUGCCACAGGCCAGAGGAACUCUUAGGAUUGCUGCCUAAAUAUCUAUUUGCUCAAAAAAUGCGCUCAUGUUUACAAGGAGUGCCAAAGCCAUUUUGUGCAUGGGUUCAAGAAUGUUCUCAAAUGGCUCAUGGACUGUUAACUAGCCUUGUAUGUAUGUAGUCCCAAAACACCUCAAAAGACCUCCCCUACAUCUCAACAAAAACAGCCUCAAGGGCAUGGACCUGGCCAGUCAUCCAAGGCACCUGUUUCAUUCUCCUGGACAAUGGUGAUUGCAUCUUUCAUAAUGGAGACAAAUUCUAUGGGUUCAACUCACCUUUCCAGCUCUACCAGCUGGCACCUUGCAGAGCAACCUAUCCUGCAUUUGUUAUCUCUCCAAAUGAAUUCAAGUCAACAAGCGGGUACCCUAAAUUUUUUCUUCUACAGAUUAAAAGGAUAUAGGUAAAAGUCCUUAGAACAUGCUUGGUACAUAGCAAAUACACAAAAAAUACCUGCCAUCAUUGUUGUUAGCCAAAAACUAGAAUGGACUGAUUAGUUGAAUACUUAGAUAUUUCUAUAAUUACUUCUCUCAAUUAUUUUUGUUACCUUUUCUUUAAACCAAUCUUUAUGGGAACUUUAUGGAGCCCUUCCCAUCCAGGUCCCUCUCUUGAGCCAAGGCUGCAAUCAGUCCAGAUCCUACAACAAGUGUUAUCUAACCACAUGUGACCUAACCACAAAGGAGCAUCAUCUUCUCUCACUUCAGUUUUAGCCAUAGACUGAACUCAUACCAACCCAAAAGGGUAGCCACAUUGCUUUCUUUUUUUUUUAAGUUAAAAAGUAUUCAUCUUUUUCAUAUGCACCAUUACCACAGGCUCUGCUUCAAUAUCUAGAAUACACUAGGCACCAUUUUCAAAGUUGGCCAUUUAGACAACUCCCCUCCAUUUCCCCAAAGGAGCUCCAUACCUCAAGACUGCUCAGCACCCAGUGGUUGCUCAACUUGUUAAGAUUGACCAAAAUGCCACCAAGUUCCCAGAAGUUACUAGUGUCCAUGCUUACUCAAUGAUGUAUACUGCAAGGCAAAGUUGAGGACAAUUAGAAGGCCUUUCAGGAGGCAAAGCCGAGGAAAUGUCCUUGAUGCCAGUAAAAUACAAAUGAGCAGCCAACAGCAUGAGACCCUUCUGAAACGUGUUUAGAGUAUUUUCCCAGGACAAAAAAGGGAUCUGGCUCAGCAAGACCAGCCUGUGUGUCCCUUCCUAGAGGUGAGCAUGCAAAGGUAGAGGGACAAGCCAAGUAUCCUGAUCCAGGCCUUGGACAUAAGCAGAACACCUACCAAUCCCAAAUAGUCCUCCAUCCCAAACCUUGACCACCCUGUACCUACCCUGUGAUAAGCCUGAUGUUUAGUAUCAAGACCUCUUCAAGGGGCAGCGGGGGAAUGGGGGGAGGGGGGCUUACUGCAUUUCUAAGUGCUCAAACGGAAAACACUUAUUAACAGGAAUCCAUUUCUGAGGCUGCUUGUCAGCUGGUUCCCCUACAAGGUGGAUGGUUAACUCUGCAGUUUUCAUUUGAGGCUGGAAUGUGGUUGGUUAUCAGUGACGUGGUUGGCUUUAUUUUAUUUAUUAAAAAUAUUUUAUUUCAUAGAGAGCACAUGAGAAAUCACAAGCAGGGAGCGCAGCAGAAGCAAAGGCAGAGGGAGAAGCAGGCUCUCUGCUGAGCAUGGACCACAAUGUGGGGCUGGAUCCCAGAGGCCCAGGAUCAUGACCUGAGCUGAAGGCAGAUGCUCAACUGACUAAGCCCCAAGGUGGGCCGAAAGCAGGCACCAGUGACAAAGGUGAAGAACCAGGGAUGCCAGUAAAAAGAAACUAAGUACUGAUGCAUGCUACAACAUGGCUGAAUCCCAAAACAUUCUGCUAAAUCAAAAAAAGUUGGUCACAAAGGACACACAUUGUAUGAUUUCAUUUAUAUGAAAUGUCCAGAAGAGGCAAAUCCAUAUUGGAAAAGUAGAUUAGUGGUUGUCUACAUCUGGGGGGGGGGGUGCAGGUGAGGAGGUGGGGUGAUGGGAUAACAGCAAAGAUAAAACGUUUUAAGAAUUACUGUGGUCGUUAGGUAUGCACAAGUCUAAAUGACCUAAGAGCCACUGAACUGUAUGGUUAUAUGAACUACAGCUAAGUCGUUAAAAAAAUAAAGGCAUUAUUUAAUAUCACUUACUGAGAAAAAGUUGUUUAACACUGGUUUCUAAGAUUUGUAGUUGUGUCUGACAUCCAAAAAAAUUUAAGCAAGGGGCAGACUUGUCUUGCUCAAGCUCGACAUCUCCUUCCAUAGAACUUCCAGGAGCCCUAAAGUUCAAAUUUCCUAUAAUCAAGCAAACUAGGAGAUAAGACUUGAUCAAGGAUUCUGUUAUUAUAGCAAGCCAACCUGCAGUAGCAGGCACUGGUGAGUGUUAUGGCCUGUUAUGGCAUGGGGUGGCCUUGUGCCCAACAAGGUCGAAUUCCACACCCUUCCUGGAACCUGUCUACACCAGUGCACUUCCUCACAAGUCCCACAGGGCAUAAGAAUGCUAGUUUCCCCUUGGACUAACACCAGGGUUUUAACUUUGUGCUAUUUAACCAAACCACCAGGAAUUUGUGUCUGUUCAGUACCAGCAACACGCUUGAUAGUUUCUGAGGAGCAGAGAAAUUACGAUUCAAACCUGAGAGCUAACCUCAGCUCAUAUACAGGCUCUGUAUUCAGACAGAAACAGAGUAAACAGAACAAUACCGUGUCCACUUAUUAGGGAACAGGAGGUUACUGACUGUAAGCACAGAGAAGCUAAGCAGAGGUAGAGGUGGGACAGCUUCAUGAAGAUUUUGAAACCAGGAUAUGAUAUGAUUAACCUUAAUAUGAAUAGACAAAAAAAAAAAGAAAAUAGACCAGGUAUGAGAACCUAUUAUUGAACAUGUUAUUUCUCCCAUAAGGAAAUUAACAACUUUCCCCAACUUUUAAUGGUUUUCUUUUUUGUUCUACUUUUUAACAACUAUAGUCAACCCUUGAACACAGGUUUGAACUGUGUGGAUCUACUUACAUGUAGAUUUCUUACAGUACAGGACUGUAAAUGUAUUUUCUCAUGAUUUGGUAACAUUUCUUCUCUAGCCUACUUUAAGAAUACAAUAUAGAAUACAUAUACAAAAUAUGUGUUGACUGUUAUGUUACUGUUAUUGUUUCUCAUCAAUCAACAAUGGGCUACUGGGCAGCCUGAGUGGCUCAGUGGUUUGGCGCCGCCUUCAGCGGGGGCCUGAUCCUGGCUGGAGACCUGGGAUCAAGUCCCACAUCGGGGUCCCUGUAUGGAGCCUGCUUCUCCCUCUGCCUGUGUCUCUGCCCCCCCCCCCAACCCCCCGUGUCUCUGAUGAAUAAAUAAAUAAAAUCUUUUUAAAAAAAUAGGCUACCAAUAAUUAAGUUUUUGGGGAGUCAAAAGUUAUACUUAAAAGAGUUUGGAUGGCACAAGGGGUCAGUGACCCCAGCCUCCUUGUUCAAGGGUAAACUGCAUUCAGCAAGUGAGCACGGGCAUCUGUUGCUGUUGCUGAAGUCGUAGAUGGUAGAGAGGUAGCAAUUUCACAGCACCCUUGAAUGUGAUGUCAAAACAUAAAGCUGGUGUCAGUUAUAGGAAUGGAUUUCAUCCUGGUUGCUGGCUUUGAGAGCCACAGCAGUGGAGGAUGAAGUAGGUAUAGGAGGGAUGAAUGAUGGUCCCAAGACAACUAGCCCUCCACCAGAUUUUUAUUCCUAGUCAUCCACCAGCUCCAACAAAUAUCAAGUAGGAAAAGAAAAAACAUACUCAUUUGGUGGCCUAGGUAUUUACUAUUUUAUUUCCACCUUAGAGAAAUAACACGUUUCUAAUAUGAAGCACAAAGGAGCUUGUUUAUUAACAUUUAUGGUAAUGUUGUGUGGCCACCCCUCUGCAAUCCUGGAGGCUUGACCAAGGCACUAAUCAUGGUGAUGCGGCCCCACGUCGUCCAAUGGGGAUCAUACCUGCCAGGUAUCUGGAGGAAAUC